GACGAACGCUGGCGGCGUGCCUAAUACAUGCAAGUCGAACGCAGGGGGGACGGGGGAGUAACACGUGGGUAACCUCCCAUCAGAGGGGAUAACACUUGGAAACAGGUGCUAAACCGAUACUGGUGUAGGAACUCGCGGUGCAUUAGCUAGUUGGUGGGGUAACGGCUAACCAAGGCCAAGAUGCAUAGCCGACCUGAGAGGGUGAUCGGCAACACCGGGACUGAGACACGGCCCAGACUCCUACGGGAGGCAGCAGUAGGGAAUCUUCGGCAAUGGACGAAAGUCUGACCGAGAAACGCCGCGUGAGUGAAGAAGGUUUUCGGAUCGUAAAACACUGUUGUUAAAGAAGCGGUAUCUAACCAGAAAGCCACGGCUAACUACGUGCCAGCAGCCGCGGUAAUAC
rnacentral:rRNA from 1 species